ensembl:lncRNA JPX JPX transcript, XIST activator
GGAAGACUUAAGAUGGCGGCGUUUGCACGGAGUGCAAUCACUGCGUCCUUACGGGGGUUGCAAGGCGUCCGAAGUAUGAGUCCACUAACAAAAGUCCAGAAACUCGCCAGUUAAUAGUAUUGUGUCUCUUCAAAAUAUCGGAGAAUAAUUUCUUUCUCGCUGAUCGCCUAACUUCUACUGACGAAGCUUGGAAGUUGCAGAAGAUGGAGUUCGCUCUUGUUGCCCAGGCUGGAAUGCAAUGGCAUGACCUUGGCUCACUGCAACCUCUGCCUCCCCAGUUCAAGUGGUUCUCCUGCCUCAGCCUCCCGAGUAGCUGAGAUUACAGUAGAAAAGGGGUUUCACCUUUUGGCCAGGCUGAUCUCGAACUUCUGACCUCAAGCAAUCCACCCGCCUUGGCCUCCCAAAGUGCUGGGAUUACAGGCGUGAGCCACUGCGCCCAGCCCAUAUAGAGGUACUGGCUCCUGUAUCACCCAGCUCUGGAGUUGAAAGAGCUCUUCAUUCCUGAGUCUCCUGUACCACUGAGAAUAGGCUGGAGUGCAGUGGCGCAAUCUCGGCUCUCUGCAACCUUCACCUCCCGUGUUCAAGUGAUUCUCCUGCCUCAGCCUCCUGAAUACCUGAGAUUACAAGCAUGCACCACCACGCCCGUCUAAUUUUGUAUUUUCACUAGAGACGGGGUUUCUCCAUGUUGGUCAGGCUGGUCUCGAACUCCCGACCUCAGGUGAUCCGCCCGCCUCAGCCUCCCAAAGUGCUGGGAUUACAGGCAUGAGCCACCGCGUCCAGCAAGAAUAGGUGAUUUUCAAACUUGGAAACAUUCAGAAGUUAUCGCCUCAGUUUCAGAUUGAGUAGUCUCAAAGAGAUUACAGACAUCUACCACAAAUUCUCUACUUGGUGUGGUGCAAAAUCAGUAUGAUGUAAACUUUGUCUCUCAGUUUCUUCAAAGGAAAGAAGCAACUGGAACACACAUAUAACACUAACCCUUCCAGCUGCAUUAUGAGGGACCAGUACCUGUCUCAAGGCAAAAUUAUGACUUAGUUCAUCCUCACCUCUGGAGGCCAGUAAAAGUGGGUUAUAGAAGAACAAAGAGGCAUCUAGAUCUUUCACUGGGUUAUUUGGAGAGAAACAUCUCCUACCGAAGGCCAGUUUAACAAGACUGGUAGAGGAGGUUAUCUUAUCUAAUUCACAGAAAUCAACACAUUGAGUCAAGAAAAAUGAAACACAGAAACACUCUAAAUAAAAGAAGAUAAGUCUUCAGAAACCAACCCUAAUGAAAUGAAGAUAUGUGAUUAACCUGACAGGAAAUUAAAAAGAGCAACCAUAAAGAGUCUCAUGGGAGCAAUGCAUGAACAAACUGAGAAUUUUCAUAAAGAAAUAAAAGAUAACAAAAAGUAUAAAGUUGAAGAAUACAAUAACUGGACUCAAAAAUUUAAUGUGUCCAACAGAAGAAUCGAUGAAGCAGAAGAAAGGGCUAUCAAACUUGUAGAUAGGCCAUUGGAAAUCAUGUAAUGUGAGGAGAAAAAAGAAAAAA